ensembl:lncRNA
CAAGAAUUUUGUCCAGCCCAUUUUUGAGGUUUUGUGUGCAAUUAUGUUCAAUUUGCUUUUUUUCCUUCUUUUUUUGGUUUUGUUCCAAUACACACAAAGGGAAUAAACAUGUGUAUAGCAAAACAUGUGUUCAUGCACUACUUUUCUGUGAGAAAUACUUGAUUUUCUGGACACAUUUCCGGGGUGCCAACACUUUUGGCCAUGACUGUAUAUACACAAAAACACCCAGGAAGAUACAUACACACAUCCUCCUCACUCACGUGUUGUCUGUGUACCAGUAGCGAGGCCAUUAUCUUUGGCCCUGCCGUCCAGACCAUCAGUUAACAGCCCCGUUGCUCUGAAAAAGAGCUCCACCACCUCCACGCUGCCCUCUACCCCGACCGCACGGAACUACAGCCCCUUGCCACCAUCAGCGUCAGCCAAGAGGUACAGUACACAAUAACUCACAGUCACCUGCAAACACACCGAGGUACAGUAUGACCGGCGUGCUGUUUCUCUAACUGUAGCAUUCGACACAUUCCAGCAAAUUGAUCAUGCACCUGCCUUUCUCUCACUUUUUAAUGUAUCACUCCUCCUGUUUCACCCACUCGGUUUUCCUCCCUCUACCUCGCCCAGUGGUGUGAAGAGUCCGGCUGGCAGUGUGAAGGAGAUUCCGUGUACCUCUAAGAUGGCUCGGCAUGGCCCCCGACUUGGCCCCUUGGCCUCCUCGGCAGCCCCCAGCAGCAAGAAAGCUGAGAGCAAAACCAAGGAGCCUGCAGCCAACGCAGGUAAGAACAUGAGUUCAUUUAUAGUGUAGGACAGAUGUUCCUAGCUCCAGGCCUUAAAUACUCCUAAAAGCCUCCCAUUUUUGUUGUAAGGCCUGAUGAUAAGUUGACAAGUAUAAUCGGGUGUUUUAGUCCAGGGCUCCAAUAAUAACGGGGAUACUCAAAGACCGGAGUUGGGAACUACUGCUGUAGGGCACUCUUCUGACCAGUAGGGAGCAGCACUGAGCUAUAUAAUGGGCCAUUGGGGAGAGGAACUGACGAUUUAUGAAAUGGAAAACAGCUGUUGGCUAGAUUGAUUUUACUGCAACAUGCUGUUAGAUGGCAGAAGUGACAUGUUUGGAACGGCCGCCCUACCUCCCACUUCGAACUAACUGCUCUGUUUUGUUUCUACGCAGGGUCGAGGCGUGUGACACAUUGUAAAGGUAGGCCUCAGCCCGAACUCCUGGGAUAAACAUUCUUGAACUCCGGCUGGAUAUUUGAAUCUAACUCUGUAAAAUGGCAGCAUUAUACACCACCAGCUGUUUGAUCCUCACACACUUUCUUAAUCUCAGAAAGGACAACUUCUAUGAGGUUUAUGGAAUAAUACCGACUAGAAGCUCAAAUGUAACCUGUGGCCUCUUCUGGUUUCUGAAGGGCAAGUAUUGUAUUUGAACUGUGGUUUUAUUCUUGUCUUUCAUUUUCUCACCAUGAUCUGUCUUCCCUGCCCUGUCUAACCUUCCCCUGCACUGUCCAUCACACACCCAAACCCUCACCCACUCCUUACCUACUGCUCCCCUGCAAACCCAAUUUCCCUACUCACACCCCAACCUUUCACCCUUACCCCUCAUUU